GAACUCACUAAGGAUGCUACCAAAAGCCAGAAUGAAGAUGGACUUUCUCAUUCUCCAUUUGUGGGGGAGAGCAUCAGUUUCUAGAGCUGGCCUGGUUUCA